GCUUCUGCCUCAUAUCUCGCCCUUGUGUGAAGGCCUCCCCAAGUCCAAGGUCCCUUGCCGGCUUUCUGGCCUCACUCCAAGCAGCUCACCGCCUCCUGCCCGUUCCCCAUGCGGCCCUGCUCUUGGCUUCCUCCUCCCUGGCCUGCUCUGGACUCAGCAGCUGUGCUGUCCCUUCACCUCAGCUAUCCUUCACAGCCUCUAGAGUCCCAGUUACCGAUGACCACGACUUCCCGAAAACCGUGACAAUCACGGUUGCACGAACUAACAAGAGACGCACAAAGACUCUGGCAAGAUUUAAAACGAGUCACGACCUUCACAGGGCAAACAGCAACCUGUGUGGCUGCGCAUGCGUAACAAGGCGACUACUUGACAAACCCGUUGUUUGACCGGAGCAGCCAAUCCGCGCGAGGAGGAACCACAGAAAGGCCCCGCCCACACAGCCUGGGUCUUCGCCCCACAGGCGGCUUCACCCGCGGCCCCGCCUCAACAGCCAUAUCUUAGUGCUGACUGGCUGGAAGCCACCACGGUUCUAUUCCGAUUGGCUGUUUCUUGGUCCUAUGCGCAAAGGUGGUAACGGAUGGCCGCUAGAAAGGGGCCUCCUAGAGGCGGAGGAAUCAUUUCUGGAGGCCGCAGUCGGACUAAGAGAGUUAGACUCUUAUACAGUCCUAAGGGGAGUGGCUACCAUCGAGACCCAUAGACCUCUCUUCGUGAGACGACCUACCUCUCAUCGUUUCCGUGUCCUCUCUUCCAGAAGGCCCUUGGAAUCCGCAGUGAAGCCCCCCUCCUUCUGUCUUACUAACGCGCAAGAGUGGGCCAAAGGCCUAACAGGAUGAAACAUUGGAGACAACUGGGAGAAGCCUCAGAGAUCAGAGAUAACCUCUCACACCUCAUGAAUGCGGUCUUCUCCCUCCUCUACCAAACCCCGUCAAAAUAGACAGUCUCAGCCUUCUACUGAUGCUGACAUUCAGUCCCUCUUGGAAGAGCAAUACUGGUGCUUGCAGAAGGGGAGAAGCACAGUUCGGGAGUGUGAGGAGGUGUGGCAGUGAUUGACAUGAGCAGAGGUGGGAUCCUGGGCAUCAGUGCUGAUUUUCAGGUGGACACGCUUGGCAACAGACUUACCGUCUUCCACACAAGGUCCUUUAUAUCCUUUGCAACACUGACUCCAGAAGGGGAAGAAAGAGUUCAGACUGGAUCUUUGCAUUUUCUCCCUCUCAACUUUUAAUACCUCCAGGCUGUCACUUGCACCUGCCAAAGUCUGGCUCUCCUUCACCCACUCUUUCCAGCCUUCCAUCACCCCAAGGCUUGAUUUCCCUGUAAGUCUCAGUGCCUCUUACCCAGAUCUCCCAUCUGGAAGGUAAGAAAUCAGAUUCAUGGGACAUCUGGGCGGUUUAGUCGGUUAAGCAUCCACCUUCAGCUCAGGUCAUGAUCCCAGAGUCCCAAGAUUGAGCCCCACAUCGGGCUCCCUCCUCAUCGGGAAGUCUGCUUCUCCCUCUGUUCCUCACCCUGCUCAUGUUCCCUAUCUCUUUCUUCCAAAUAAAUAAAUAAAAUCUUACAAAUAAAUAACAUCUUAAAAGGAAAG